rnacentral:rRNA from 1 species
GUAGGGUGCGAGCGUUAAUCGGAAUUACUGGGCGUAAAGCGGGCGCAGACGGUUACUUAAGCAGGAUGUGAAAUCCCCGGGCUCAACCUGGGAACUGCGUUCUGAACUGGGUGACUAGAGUGUGUCAGAGGGAGGUAGAAUUCCACGUGUAGCAGUGAAAUGCGUAGAGAUGUGGAGGAAUACCGAUGGCGAAGGCAGCCUCCUGGGAUAACACUGACGUUCAUGCCCGAAAGCGUGGGUAGCAAACAGGAUUAGAUACCCUGGUAGUCCACGCCCUAAACGAUGUCGAUUAGCUGUUGGGCAGCAUGACUGCUUAGUAGCGAAGCUAACGCGUGAAAUCGACCGCCUGGGGAGUACGGUCGCAAGAUUA